UACAGAGGUCUCAAGCGUUGUUCGGAUUCAUUGGGCGUAAAGGGCGCGUAGGCGGCGGGGUAAGUCUGGUGUGAAAUCUAGGAGCUCAACUCCUAAACUGCACUGGAUACUGCUCUGCUAGAGGACUGGAGAGGAGACUGGAAUUCACGGUGUAGCAGUGAAAUGCGUAGAUAUCGUGAGGAAGACCAGUGGCGAAGGCGGGUCUCUGGACAGUUCCUGACGCUG
rnacentral:rRNA from 1 species